AUGAAUGAAAGUCUCUCAGUUCUAAACUGGAAUGUACGCGGUCUUAACUGCCCAAAUCGUCGCGCCACAGUCCACGAGACCAUUGCUGCUACCCCGUGUAACCUUGUGUGCCUCCAGGAAACGAAAUUGUCAGCGGUCGACCCAUUCCUUGCAUCUUUCCUUGGUGGCCAAAGACUGAAGAACUUUGCUGAGAAGCCGGCGAAUGGAACAAAAGGGGGGAUUCUUCUUCUAUGGAAUGAAGAUUACAUCAAGCUGGACAAUAUCUCUGUUGGAAACUUUAGUAUCUCUGCAAAAAUCACCCUGGUCAGCACUAGCACCUCCUUCAAAUUCACUUCGGUCUACGGACCUACAAGAAGCAACCUUAAAGAUGCGUUCUUCCAAGAGCUAUUAAGCCUGAAGCCACAACAGGGUACAAGAUGGCUAGUCGCAGGUGAUUUUAAUCAGAUUUACCGUGCCUGCGACAAAAACCGCUCUAACGUUGACCGUAGUCGCCUUGUUCGCUUCCGAAGCGCCCUUAACUCAUGUGAGCUAAAAGAGAUACAUCUACAGAAUAGGAAAUAUACAUGGAGCAAUGAGCAGGCCAACCCGACACUGAGCAAGUUAGAUUGUUUUUUCUGUAAUGAUGAUUGGGAUGUUGACUUUGGCUCUCACAUCCUUCAUGCACUAUCGUCCUCGCUCUCUGAUCACUGCCCGCUGCUACGAGCUUGCGGCAAGGGCCCGAAGCGACCAAAAACCUUUCGCUUUGAAAAAUUUAUGGAUCAGGAUGCCUAA
rnacentral:rRNA from 1 species